ensembl:snRNA U6 U6 spliceosomal RNA
GUGCUCACUUUGGCAGCAAAUAUAUUAAAAUUGGAAAGAUAGAGAGAAGAUUAGCAUGGUCCCUGCACAAAGAUGACACACAAAUUCAUGAAGCUGUUCCAUAUUAA